rnacentral:rRNA from 1 species
UGGGGAAUAUUGGGGCAAUGGGGCGCAAGCCUGACCCAGCAACGCCGCGUGAAGGAAGAAGGCUUUCGGGUUGUAAACUUCUUUUGCCAGGGACGAGCAGAAGACGGUACCUGACGAAUAAGCCACGGCUAACUACGUGCCAGCAGCCGCGGUAAUACGUAGGUUGCAAGCGUUGUCCGGAUUUACUGGGUGUAAAGGGCGUGUAGGCGGAGAUGCAAGUCAGGAGUGAAAUCCCGGGGCUUAACCCCGGAACUGCUUUUGAAACUGUAUCCCUUGAGUGUCGGAGAGGCAAGCGGAAUUCCUAGUGUAGCGGUGAAAUGCGUAGAUAUUAGGAGGAACACCAGUGGCGAAGGCGGCUUGCUGGACGAUAACUGACGCUGAGGCGCGAAAGCGUGGGGAGCAAACAGGAUUAGAUACCCUGGUAGU